rnacentral:rRNA from 1 species
GUCUAUGGCCAUACCACCCUGAAAGCGCCCGAUCUCGUCUGAUCUCGGAAGCUAAGCAGGGACGGGCUUGGUUAGUACCUGGAUGGGAGACUGCCUGGGAAUACCAGGUGUUUUGGGCU